CCCUUAGAUGUUCUGGGCUGCACACGUGCUACACUGGCAGGUUCAGCGAGCUUCAUGCCCUGAUCUGAAAGGAAUGGGAAAUCUUUUCAAAACCUGCCGUGCUUGGGAUAGAUGUUUGCAAUUAUUCAUCUUCAACGAGGAUUGCCUUGUAAGCGCACGUCAUCAGCGUGCAUUGAAUACGACCCUGUAUUCUGUACACACCGCCCGUCGCUCCUACCGAUUGAAGUUUUCGGUGAGUUGACAGGAGGAUUUUUUUGAAACUGGUUCGCCAGUGGAUUUUAGAUCCAAAUGCCAACGAAUCGAUGGCUUUAGAGGAAGGAGUAGUCGUAACA
rnacentral:rRNA from 1 species